rnacentral:rRNA from 1 species
UAACACGUAUCCAACCUGCCGUCUACUCUUGGCCAGCCUUCUGAAAGGAAGAUUAAUCCAGGAUGGCAUCAUGAGUUCACAUGUCCGCAUGAUUAAAGGUAUUUUCCGGUAGACGAUGGGGAUGCGUUCCAUUAGAUAGUAGGCGGGGUAACGGCCCACCAAGGCGACGAUCAGUAGCCGGACUGAGAGGUUGAACGGCCACAUUGGGACUGAGAUACGGCCCAG